AUUGAACGCUGGCGGCAUGCCUUACACAUGCAAGUCGAACGGUAACAGGUCUUCGGACGCUGACGAGUGGCGAACGGGUGAGUAAUACAUCAGAACGUGCCCAGUCGUGGGGGAUAACUACUCGAAAGAGUAGCUAAUACCGCAUACGAUCUGAGGAUGAAAGCGGGGGACCUUCGGGCCUCGCGCGAUUGGAGCGGCCGAUGGCAGAUUAGGUAAUUGGUGGGAUAAAAGCUUACCAAGCCGACGAUCUGUAGCUGGUCUGAGAGGACGACCAGCCACACUGGGACUGAGGCACGGCCCAGACUCCUACGGGAGGCAGCAGUGGGGAAUUUUGGACAAUGGGCGAAAGCCUGAUCCAGCAAUGCCGCGUGCAGGAUGAAGGCCUUCGGGUUGUAAACUGCUUUUGUACGGAACGAAAAAGCUCCUUCUAAUACAGGGGGCCCAUGACGGUACCGUAAGAAUAAGCACCGGCUAACUACGUGCCAGCAGCCGCAGUAA
rnacentral:rRNA from 1 species